rnacentral:rRNA from 1 species
GACGAACGCUGGCGGCGUGCCUAAUACAUGCAAGUCGAGCGGAACUGGGGGAGCUUGCUCCUUCCAGUUUAGCGGCGGACGGGUGAGUAACGCGUGGGCAACCUGCCCUGCAGAUCGGGAUAACUCCGGGAAACCGGUGCUAAUACCGAAUAGUUUGGCGCCUCUCCUGAGGCGCUACGGAAAGACGGUUUCGGCUGUCACUGCAGGAUGGGCCCGCGGCGCAUUAGCUAGUUGGUGGGGUAACGGCCCACCAAGGCGACGAUGCGUAGCCGACCUGAGAGGGUGACCGGCAACACUGGGACUGAGACACGGCCCAGACUCCUACGGGAGGCAGCAGUAGGGAAUCUUCCGCAAUGGACGCAAGUCUGACGGAGCAACGCCGCGUGAGUGACGAAGGUUUUCGGAUCGUAAAACUCUGUUGUGAGGGAAGAACACGUACCAACUAACUAUUGGUACCUUGACGGUACCUCGCCAGAAAGCCACGGCUAACUACGUGCCAGCCGCCGCGGUAA